rnacentral:rRNA from 1 species
AACGAACGCUGGCGGCAUGCCUAACACAUGCAAGUCGAACGAGACCUUCGGGUCUAGUGGCGCACGGGUGCGUAACACGUGGGAAUCUGCCCUUUGCUUCGGAAUAACAGUUAGAAAUGACUGCUAAUACCGGAUGAUGUCGAAAGACCAAAGAUUUAUCGGCAAAGGAUGAGCCCGCGUAGGAUUAGGUAGUUGGUGGGGUAAAGGCCUACCAAGCCGACGAUCCUUAGCUGGUCUGAGAGGAUGAUCAGCCACACUGGGACUGAGGCACGGCCCAGACUCCUACGGGAGGCAGCAGUGGGGAAUAUUGGACAAUGGGCGAAAGCCUGAUCCAGCAAUGCCGCGUGAGUGAUGAAGGCCUUAGGGUUGUAAAGCUCUUUUACCAGGGAUGAUAAUGACAGUACCUGGAGAAUAAGCUCCGGCUAACUCCGUG